UGGGGAAUAUUGCACAAUGGGCGAAAGCCUGAUGCAGCAACGCCGCGUGAGUGAUGAAGGCCUUCGGGUUGUAAAGCUCUGUCUUUUGGGACGAUAAUGACGGUACCAAAGGAGGAAGCCACGGCUAACUACGUGCCAGCAGCCGCGGUAAUACGUAGGUGGCAAGCGUUGUCCGGAUUUACUGGGCGUAAAGGAUGCGUAGGCGGAUUUUUAAGUGAGAUGUGAAAACCCUAAGCUUAACUUGGGGACUGCAUUUCAUACUGGAAAUCUAGAGUGCGGGAGAGGAGAAUGGAAUUCCUAGUGUAGCGGUGAAAUGCGUAGAGAUUAGGAAGAACACCAGUGGCGAAGGCGAUUCUCUGGACCGUAACCGACGCUGAGGCAUGAAAGCGUGGGUAGCAAACAGGAUUAGAUACCCUGGUAGUCCACGCCGUAAACGAUGAGUACUAGGUGUAGGAGGUAUCGACCCCUUCUGUGCCGCAGUUAACACAAUAAGUACUCCGCCUGGGAAGUACGAUCGCAAGAUUAAAACUCAAAUGAAUUACGGGGGUC
rnacentral:rRNA from 1 species